rnacentral:lncRNA from 1 species
AGAUGAAGAACGCCUCUAAGAUCACCUCUAAAAAAUUCAAGAUCUGGUACCCAACUAGAUCAGGCCUGAACCGAGGUCGUCCAAUUUCUAUAUCUCAAAUUAGGAUAUUCUAGAUAGGGAAGAAGGUAGAUAGAACCAGACCUUGCAGAUGUGUCCUGCUGUAGCCUUUCCUGUAGAUCUGUUGAUGGAGAUCUCAUCCGUGCCUCAAACAACCUCAGAUCAACUCCAGAUCUGACAAAAACUUGUACCAACCUCUUCUCAAGAGAUUUCAGGUCUUGAACCUGAUAUUUGGGUGGCUGC